UUCAAGUGAUCUGCCCACCUCAGCCUCCCAAAGUGCUGGAAUUACAGGCGUGAGCCAUUGCACCCUGCCUGGACUUGAAUUUUUGUCAGAAAGAGAUUUGCAAUUAAUGCUGAUUGCAACUGAUGGCAGAAUUAAGAUGGAAAGAAACAGAGACAUGAAGAGGUUAAGACAAGUGACGGAGGUCUCAGGGCCAGGCAGGGAAAGAGUGACUUGUUUUGGAGGGUGGGAGCCCACCCACACAAUCAACCACAGUCACCCAGAUCUGCCCACUGAGGUGAGAGAAAGGAGGGGAAAUAAAACAGCAAGCCCUUUUCUUUCCUCCUCAUAUCUGUUCUCAGGACUCAUUUCCUGUCUAACUCAGAGUCACCUUAGAUCCUUAAAAGUGACUGGAACCAAGUCACUAAAAAAAAAAAAAAAGAAAGAAAAAAGCAAUUAUUUUUCACAAUGUGAAGCCUUCUUUGGGAGAAGUUGGCUAGAAAAUAAUAGGAGAAAAGGCUGGAACAACUGUCUAGGACAUUUCCUAAUAUGUUAUUUUCACCCCCCUUCCCUCAAAGGUCAACAAGAUACUCCACUGUGGAAGCUUCUUCAAAAGCAGUUCAUCUGGAUGUCUUCAAUACUCCAGAUGGCUUCUCUAAGUCCUACUCCAGGCCGAUCGUUAUGCAAUCUGUUAUCUUCCUUUCCAACUGUUUUCUCAGGCUUUUUUUUUUUUUUUUAAAUAGGGUAUCACUGUCGCCCAGGCUGGAGUACGGUGGUGUGAUCACAGCUCACUGCAGCCUUGACCUCUUGGGCUCAAGUGAUUCCUCCCACCUCAGCCUCCCAUGUAGCUGGGACUAUAGGCAUGUGCCACCACACCCAGCUGAUUUUUACAUUUUUUGUAGAGAUGGGAUUUCGCUAUGUUUCCCAGGCUAGUCUUGAACUUUUGGGUUCAAGCAAUCUGCCCGGCUCAGCAUCUGAAAGUGCUGGAAUUACAGGUGUGAGCCACAGUGCCUAGCCAGGCUAAUUUCUUAUCUAUUGAAAGCUGGAAUCCAAUGCAGGAAUCCAAUGCAGAAACUAUGUAAGAUUUCAAUCUGUUAUAUAUCUACCAUCUUCCUGAGACAGGCCAUUGAAAGUCAAAUUCCACUGUCAUUUGUUCCAGGGGAAAAAAGAAACAUGAAUAUAUAUGUUUGUAAACACAAAGAUGAUUUCUAAAAAGAUAACCAAUAAACUGGUGAUGGCCCGUGCCUUUGGGUAGGAGAGUUGGGUAACUGGGUUAAAAGGAGGCAGGAAAACUGACACUUUAUUUUUUAUUUAUUUAUUUAUUUUGAGACAGGGUCUCACUCUGUUGCCCAAGCUGGAGUGCACCGGUGGGAUCUCGGCUCACUGCAACCUCCGCCUCCCAGGCUGAAGUGAUCCUCCCACCUCGGCUUCUCAAGUAGCUGGGAUUACAGGCAUGUGCCACCAUGCCCAGCUAAUUUUUUGUAGUUUUUGUACAGACAGGGUUUUGCCGUGUUGGCCAAGCUGGUUUCGAACUUCUGGGCUCAAGCGAUCCUCCUACCUUGGCUUCCCAAAGUUCUGGGAUUACAGGCGUGAGCCACCUUAUCUGGCCAAGGCUGACACUUAAUACCCUUUUGUACCUUUCGAAGGUUGUACCAUUUGCAUGUAUUACUUAUUCCAAAAAUUAAAUGAAAAAACAAAUAAUAGGUGGAACAAAACUGAAGCUUGGAAACUGUGGGAGCCCUUUAUCAGGAAAUAACAAACAUGAUGGUAUCACAUCUUGACUUUCCAGUGAUGGUCAACAACAGAAGCAUUUACCAGAUAGUGAGCUCCCCACAUGCAAGCGGCAACUUUAAUUGUACCUUAAAUCUUUGCCCUUGUAUUAGUUAUCUGUUGCUGCCUAACAAAAUACCCCCAAAUUUAGCAGUUUGAACCACAAGUAUUUAUAAUCUCAGUUUCUUUUUCUUUUUCUUUUUUUUUUUUUUUGAGACGGAGUCUCGCUCUGUCGCCCAGGCUGGAGUGCAGUGGUGCGAUCUCGGCUCACUGCAAGCUCCGCCUUCCAGGUUCACGCCAUUCUCCUGCCUCAGUCUCGGGAGCAGCUGGGACUACAGGCGCCCGCCGCUACGCCCGGCUAAUUUUUUGUAUUUUUUUUUUAAUAGAGACGGGGUUUCACCAUGUUAGCCAGGAUGGUCUUGAGCUCCUGACCUCGUGAUCCGCCCGCCUCGCCCUCCCAAAGUGCUGGGAUUACAGGCAUGAGCCACCGCGCCCGGCCUAUAAUCUCAGUUUCAAUGGAUCAAGAAUCUGGGUAUGGCUCAGGGUCUCCUCCCAAGGCUGCAGUCAAGGUGUGAGCCAGAGCUGCAGUCACCUAAAGGUCGGCCUGGGGAUGAUCCACCUCCAAGCUCACUCACAGGGCUGUUGGCAGGAUUCCAUCCUCUUGGGCUGUUGGCCAGAGGCCAGCUCCAGUUCUUUGCCAUGAAUGUCUCUCCAUGGGGCAGCUGGCUUCUCUUACAGUAAGUGAGAGCAUGAGAGAGCAUCAGCAAGAGGGAAGUGGGGUGUUUCUGUGCCCCAGCCUCAGAAGUGACAUCCCAUCACUGUGGCCAUAUUUUAUUCACUAGAAGGGCAUCACCAGGUCUAACCCCUGCUCAAGGGAGAGGAUUUCCCAGAAACAGAAGAAAUCACAAAUUACACUUCACAAGAAUCCUGAGAUAUUUUAGAAAGGUUCCAAAUUUGGCCAAAAGUAGCUUAAGAAGGCUUUUAUGGACCAAGCAUAAGAAGUUUAGCAGGGCUGGGUGUAAUGGCUCACACUUGUAAUUCCAGAACUUUGGGAGGCUGAGGUGGGCAGAUUGUUUGAGCCCAGGAGUUCGAGACCAGCCCAGGCAACAUAGCAAAACCCCAUCUCUACAAAAAAUGCAAAAAUUAGCUGGGCAUGUGCUUGUGGUCCCAGCUACUCGGGAGGCUGAAGUGAGAGGAUUGCUUGAGCCUGGGAGGUCGAGGCUACAGUGAGCUGUUACUGCACCACUGCACUCCAGCCUGGGCGACAGAGUGAUACCCUCCCUCAGAAAAAAAAAAGGAAGAAGAAGAAGGAGAAGGAGAAGAAGAAAGAAGUGUAGCAGCAGAGAGAAAUUACUUCACUCAAACCAGCAUUGAGAGAGGCAGAGAAUUAGGAGCACUCACAGGCAGAGCUGAAAGGCUCCCAGAAGGGGCAAAAAUAAAAUGUAAAAUUAACCUUUGAAAUCCAAAGUUGGUAUCAGGUAUAGCCUAAUGUUCACUUUUUAAUUUUAGCAACACCGAACAUGGUAUUUCUACCUUAUUUUUAGUAUAAUUAUCCAUUCUUAACUUGUGUAAUGAAAGAAAAAAUAGGGGCGGGCAUGGCGGCUCACGCCUGUAAUCCCAGCACUUUGGGAGGCCGAGGCGGGUAGGUCACGAGGUCAGCACUUCGAGACCAGCCCAACCAACAUGGUGAAACCCCGUCUCUACUAAAAACACAAAAAAAUUAGCUGGGCGUGGUGGCGGGUGCCUGUAAUCCCAGUGACUUGGGAGGCUGAGGCAGAAUUGCUUGAAAACUGGAAGACAGAGGUUGCAGUGAGCCGAGAUUUCCCACUGCACUCCAGCCUGGGAAAUAAGAGCAAAACUCCGUCUCAAAAAAAAAAAAAAGAGAAAGAAAGAAAAAAUAACAAAAAUAACAUAGGUAAAUUAACAGUUAUAAUAUUAAACAGUCUCUUUUGGCUAAACCUGUUAUAAAUCACCACGGCAUAUAAAUGUUAGAGCUUAGAUGCUGAAUAAACCAACUGGCCUUGAAGCCCACAUUUCUAAUUCUCAUAACAGAUUUAUUAUGAAUCUCAAAUUUCACAAAUUUGUCUGUCUGUGUAAAAUUGUUUUGGAAGAUGUCAAUAAAUGUAGAGGAAUGUUUAAAAUCUGAAGUUGGAAAAAGGUAAAGCAAACAUUAGUUUUUAAUCUUUUGCUCACUUGAGUAAAUCCUUGAAAGGAUUAAAAAAUAUCCAACUUGUGAAAUUUGUUUAAAGUCCUUUUAAAAUAAAAAUGCAUAAAUGUAUAAUUACUCUAAACCUAACUGAAGACUUUAUAGAAUUCACCCAAUUUGAAAACAGGUCUUCUGGCCUGUUUCCCAAGUCAUUAUGCACAGCUGUGGGAAACAUCCUGUUGUAUGUUUACAUAUAUUAACAGCUUCAGGAAUUUCACAAUUAAAACUAUGGUGGGCUGGUUUCCAAUUCAGGCAGCUGGGUGAGGGGGUGUGGAGAGCAGGCAAACCAGAAAUAAAAACAAGCUUCUUGAAAGAUGGGGGAAAGGAAAUCGUAACUACUUAGUAAUCAGGAGUCCAUAUAGUUUGCCAGUUCUACUAAACGCUGGAGGGAUUUCAUUUAAACCCUAAGAAAUACACUUGUUCAAUCAUUUUGCAGCCUUCAAAAUCUCUCAGUUGGCUUCAACCAAGAGGUUGCCUGAUGGAGGUAAUAUUGUACACGAUAUGUAAAAAACUUUUAUUUUUUUCUGUGGACAGUUUCACCCCAACAGAAGGAAGCUGUGGUUUCACCUUUCUCUCUUUUGUUUUUCCAGCAUGCCUGCCCCUCGUCCUGACAUAACUGAUUAGGAAAUGAUUUCUAAAUGGUCAAGAGUCCAGCCUCGAUAGCCACUUCUCUGAUUCCAACAGAAUUUCUACAGAAGACAAUUUCCUUGUCUCAGCAAGGUAUGUAUGAUAUAUGUGGCCUGGCCAGGCCGGCUGCUCAAACAGAGCUGUGUUUGGGUCAGCCCACUGUUUAAAAUGUUAAAAUCAGACAUGAAGACCAUUCACAUAACCACUGCUGGUCAGAUAUGAGUCAUCUCCAAGAACACCAAAAAAGGAAGCAUUAAAUGCUGAUUGGUCUCCUUCAAAAUCACUUGGGAAACUCCAGAAAGGGAAGGGAUAAAACACAGGAACUUCUACUUCUUCAAAGUCUCCCGAGGUGAUUUUUAAUACUCAGAAGUUGGGACUGAGUUCCUGAUCUAGGUUGAAGUGUAAUGUGAAUUCCAUUCUUGCCAGUAGGUGCGUUAUUUUAAUCAUUAUCUUUAUUCUUGAGACUGUUUCACUCCAUCUGGAGACAGCUUUGUUGAGUUUUGGCAACACUGCAGAGUUGUUAAAAUCAUAAAACAGAACCACCUGUUUUUGAGCUAUAUGGGUUAUUAGAAAAAAUAUCCAAAAUUCUUUAUUUUUACAAGAGGAAUCCAGAGCUCAGAAAGAUUAGGGGAGGUGUGAGUGCUGAACUUGUAUUUAGUCUCCCUGGGCCUCAGUGUCCCCAUCUGUAAAGUGAAAAUUAAUAUAUUCAUUAAUUGAUCAGUUAUUGAAUGCCUACUAGGUUGUGGACUCCAGGGAUGAAGAAGAUACGUGAUCUCUCACUAUAACUUAAAUCCUAACACAGACUGUUACAGUUCAAUAUGGGAAACAUAGGUGGGUGCAGUGGCUCGCACCAGUAAUUCCAGUACUUUGGGAGGCCGAGAUGGGAGGAUAGCUUGAUGUUGAUGCCAGGAGUUUGAGACCAGCCUGAACAACAUAAGGAUACCCCUGUCUCUACAAAAGAAGAAAUUUUAAUUAGCCAGGCAUAGUGGCACACACCUGUAGUCCUAGCCACUCAGGAGGCUGAGGCUGGAGGAUGGCCUGAGUCCAGAAGUUUAAAGCUGCAGUGAGCUGUGUAUGAUCAGGCCACUGCACUCCAACCUGGGCAACAGAGCGAGAACCCAUCUCUAAAAACCAGUAAUAAUAAUAUUUAAAAUACAGUAAAUGCCAGGAGAAGACAAUAUGCUCAGGUUGCAGUGGGAGCUUGGCAAAACCAUACCUAACCCAGCCUGGGAAGCACAUGGGAGGCCUCUGCCAUAGGGCAGAAAGCUGCUGCAGUGAAAUCCAUUUAAUUGGAGAAUGGAGCAGAAAGGGCAGAAGAUGCAAAGAAGCCCUGCUGUCUAUAGAAUUUGCGAAAAUAAGAUGAAGCAAUAGUUUGCCAGCAGCAAAUAACUACACAGAUAUGAGCUAUGAAAUUAAGUAAGACUCAUCAAGGCCACCCACAGCUGCUGCGUUGCAGACGCCAAUCCAGCAUCCUUACGUUACACCAUUCAUUUAUUUCAAUCAUUUUCCCCAUAGGUUUAUAUCUAGACAUUUCCAUAAACCCAAGUAAAUUUUUUAUUAUGCGUGUAGGCAUCCUAUAAAGAGUAGACUCUUACAUUGUCUACUUUCCAAGCCAUUCUCUGUCUUGACUACGCAUGAGAGAAUCAGCCAGGUUUAUCCCAGACUGGCUAAUAAGACUCUGGCAAGGAGAACUCAGGCAUCAAUGUUUUUGAUGCUUCCCAGGUGAACUUGAGAAUCUCAUUUAUCAAAAAGUCAAGAAUGAAUGGUGCGCACACACACAGACAAAAAAUUCUUCAGUCACCUCUGGUUUAUGCAUUUUUAGAAAGGCUCCAGAUAAUAUGAAAUCUAUUUGUUUGAGCCUUGACUAUAAUAUGAUUCUUUUAGGAAAACAGAUUUACUGUCUAAAUGAUACCUGGCUCAGAUUAAUUCUAGUUUGUCUCUUUUUUUUUUUUUUUUUUUUUUUUUUUGAGACAGAGUCUCACUCUUGUUGCCUAGGCUAAAGUGCAAUGGUGCAAUCCUGGCUCACUGCAAACUCGCCUCCUGGGUUCAAGCAAUUCUCGUGGCUCAACCUCCCGAGUAGCUGGGAUUACAGGCACCCACCACCAUGCCCAGCUAAUUUUUUUAUUUUUAGUAGCGACAGGGUUUCACCAUGUUGGUCUGGCUGGUCUCAAACUCCUGAGCUCAAGUGAUCUGCCUGCCUCAGCCUCCCAAAGUGCUGGGAUUACAGGCGUGAGCCACGGUGCCCGGCCUAGUUUGUCUUUUCUAAAGAUGCACUGGCUGAAGGGAGGCGGGGACGUUCCUAGAAGUAUGAUGGGUGACAGAGAACACACUAUUCAGGUUAAGAAUGCUCUACAGAGAGACUAUAAAGUAGAAACUGUAAAGAUUACAGGGGAAAGAGGGCAUCUGAUGGAACGCAGGCAUGGAUAAGAUAAUAUUUAUAUAUCUUUAUGUUUAACAAAAGUUCUAACAUGCUUACUGUGGUCCUUUGAAACUGAUGACAGGCACACAACAGGGUGGACACAUAUGGUUUAACAAACAAGUCUUUUUUAUGUAUUUAUUUCCUUUAAUAAUAUAGAAAGACUGUGGGGAAUAAGAACUUUAAAAAUAUCGAAUAUGCCUGGUAGAUGCUGCCUUAAGUGAAGCAAGACUCCUGAUAUUCACAAGAAGAGACAAUAUAAAAGGAAAUUGAAGACCGGGCAUAGUGGCUCAUACCUGCAAUCCCAGCAAUUUGGGAGGCCAAGGCAGGUGGAUCACUUGAGGUCAGGAGUUCAAAACCAGCCUGGCCAACAUAGUGAAACCCUAUCUCCACUAAAAAUACAAAAAUUAGCCAGGCAUGGUGGCACGCGCUUGUAAUCCCAGCUACUCAGGUGGCUGAGGCAGGAAAAUUGCUUGAACUGGGAGGCAGAGGUUGCAGUGAGCUGAGAUCGCGCCACUGAACUCCAGCCUGGGUGGCAGAGUGAGACCCCGUCUUAAAAAAAAAAUAAAAAUAAUAAAGGAAAUUAAGCAUUGAAGAAAACACAGAAGCCGUCUCCUCUACCAUACAUCGAAGGGCGCAUGGUGACAGAGCUGUUGUCAUUUCAACAGUAUUUCUGGGCUUCCCCUGUUCUCUACAUCCUUGCUACUUGAAAAAGAAAGAGUGAGCAGAGGACAUAACUCAGGAGGGACUCCUACUUUAAUUUUUACUGGGGUGGGCAGAGACUACGCUGAAGAAAUGACAUUUGGGCCAAAAGGCAAAAGAUAAGGAGCCUUUCAGAGGAAGAGCUUUUCAAGCGAGAAAGCAGCAAAUCUGAAGUUCCUGGGACAGGAAGGGACUCGUCAUGCUUCAGAAACUGAAGGAGAAAAAGAAUGGAAUUUGCAGGGGGAAGCCGGGGUCAGGGCGGGCUGGGCAUAGAGAGCUGUGGAGAGAAGGUAGCUGUUGUUAAAACCACAGCAUGAGCUACUGCAAGGGUUGGCAGGAUCUGAGUGGGUGCUCUGGUUUGGAAGGGGCAGGGUAGAAGUGUAGCCCUCAUGUAAGAAGGCUACUGGAAUGGUCCAGGAGAGGGAGGAUGACAGCUUGAACCUCGCGGAUGGCAGCGGAGAUAGAGGUUAUCAGGUGGAGUCAAGGUCUUCCAGAGGUAGAAGCAACAGGCCUUGGAGACGGAUUGGAAAUGAAAGCAGGGUGCAGUCUGGAAGAGAAAGGGGUCAGAGAUCAAGUCCAGGCUUAAGCCAGAAGGCUUAAGCACCAGCUAGAGGGGUAUCAUCUUCUCAACUGAUGUCAGAGUUCAAUGCUCGAGGUGCUGUGUUUAGGGGCAUGCAGGAGAGUAUUAUGAAACGUGCAGGAGAGUAUUAUGAAACGUGCCUAUGACUAAGUCCUGCGAAACCGUAGCAUUUUAAGAGGACUCCUACCCGUGGUUUAGGGUAGAAUUCCUCAGCCUCAACCCUAGUGACGUUUUGGGUAAGAUACUUCUUUGUUGUAGAGGCUGAGCUGCAUAUUGUAGGAUAUUUAGAAGUAUCCCUGGCCUUGACCACUGGACGCUUGUAGCAUCCUGAAUUGUGACAACUUAAAAUGUUCCCCAGGGAGCAAAAGUCACAUCUGGUUGACUAAGUUAAGUAUACUUUUACAAAGUCUUUAAUAAACUGGUGCCGGUCUUCUGUCUCAAAAAGUUCACGGGCAGGCCAGAGUAAGAGCUUCACAAAUCAUUUCAAUUUUCUCAUGUUCCGGCUUUGUUGACAAGCACCUAAAAUUGACUUUAAAAAACCAGACCUAGUAUUAAGGUGGAUGCUGCCUCAUCGAAUUAGAAAACAAUUGGAGUUAUACUAACCCCAAAAUACACAAGAUCUUGAAAAAUCUUUAUCCUUUGUCUUUUGACAACAACAUAAACCCAAAAUAGAGCAGUGAGUGGAUAUAGGUGUUAGCUGGAUUUUCCCCUGUAUGUAAAUAUUUCAUAGCUCAGAGUUAUGGGAUGGUGUUUAUUUCAAAUAACAUUUGUAAAAAUAUCUCUAACCCAAACCAAAAUGCCAUAAGAGUCCUUUUUUUCCUAAGUAGAUGCUUAAAACAAAUUCCCGAUAUUUUUGUUGCAUUUCCAAAGUAUGGCAGUAAGUAUCAAAAGUUAGUGCAAAAAUCUUUAAAUAUCUAUUUUUGUUGUUGUUGUUGUUUUGUCUCGUUCUGUUUUGUUUUUUUGAGACGGAGUCUCGCUCUGUUGCCCAGGCUGGAGUGCAGUGGUGCAAUCUCAGCUCUCUGCAAGCUCCACCUCCAGGGUUCAAGUGACUCUCCUGCCUCAGCCUCCUGAGUAGCUGGGAUUACAGGCGCGUGCCACCAUGCCCAGCUAAUUUUUGUAUUUUUAGUAGAGAUGGGGUUUCACCAUGUUGGCCAGUCUGGUCUCAAACUCCUCACCUCAAGUGAUCCACAUGCCUCAGCCUCCCAAAGUGUUGGGAUUACAGGCAUGAGCCACCGUACCUGGCCGUAAGUAUCUAUUUGUGUUUGUGACUAUUAUACUAAGUUAUGAAGUCCAAGAAAGAACUUGGUUAUUCUCCUCUGGCAGCUUAGUGAAGGAGUAAAAGCCAUAAAAUUCACUUAAUUAGGCCACGGUGGAUUCUUUUCAUUGUAGAGUCACUAUAAAAACAGCCAACAAUUAUUGGUUCGAUGUUGUUCAAUGGCCUUCUCUCUCAUAAAACAUGUGUCUAAUAACGGCAGCUAAUGCUAGUACCUAUCAGUGUGGAAAGGCAUGUUUCUGACUUUACUAUUUAAUGUGUAAUUAUAGAACAGGUGCUACAAUUUAAGAACUGCGCUGGGGGCUGAGCUACAACAUGAGUCUUGCCAAGGUGCUAUUCUCACCAAGGUGGCCACUAGUGUAAACACAGACAAAUAGACCAGCAAUGACAAUAUAGCUCAGGGAUGCCACACCCCUAGGCCCACAUCUGUCCUGCUUCUCACCUGCUCAAGGUGACAGGACUAAGGAAUCCUAACACACCUUUGCUGCCGUGGCUGGACAUCACUUCAGAAUCCAGCUCGUCAAAAGCCUCUCAGCCAGGGAUUCUCAAUCUGGAGCAGGCAUCAGAAUCACCUGGAAGUUUUAUUAGGACACUGAUUGCUGGGUCUUAACCCCAGAGCUUCUGAGUCAGUGACUCUAGAGUGCAGCCCCCAGUCAUGCUGAUGUUGCUGGUCCAGGGACCAUACUUUGAAAACCAGUGUCUAGGCAACCACCACUGAUCAAGCCACAUCUGAUAUAAAAGCUAGCUACCAUCUCCGAGAUGGUACCACCUAUGCUAAGAUGAGAAUGUACAGGGAACCACUAGAACAAAGGAAGAGUCCCUCACUUUGGUCUGGGAAAGACAAGGAAUCAGGAAAUCUUCCAGGAGGAGGUAGCACCUCAAGUGAUCCACCCAUCUCGGCCUCCCAAAGUGCUGGGAUUACAGGCGUGAGCCACUGUGCCCAGCCAAGCCCCUUUAUUUCAAAAACACAAUGUGUUCUUCCAAUGGUUCAUGAAAACUAGAAACACAAAAAAAUGUUAAAGGGUGUUUUUAAAAAUUAAGGUUUGCUUGAAAGAGAUACUCUUAUCUUUUUUACGUCUAGUAAGGGGUAUUGAAAUACAGCAGAUAUGGAGAACAACAUCGACUUGGAACAGAAGAAUGACCCCUAACAACUUAGAGCUUAGACAAAUUUGAGAGUUUACAAAGACUGCCAGACAGGAUGUUAUGUUAGAAAUACAUUUAAGCGAUAUUAAAAUAAGUAUUCAAAUACAAAAUUUUGAAGACAGGAAACUUCAUAAUAUUCAUGUUAAAUUCUCAGGAUCCUCUGGACCGGAAAUCAUUGUAUAAUGCCUAAGAUAUCGUGGCAAACAAAAUUUUACAAGCAAAUAAAAUGUACUUUAGUUCUCA